rnacentral:lncRNA from 1 species
CACACACACACACACACACCCUGAAAGGGCUUUCCUUGUCUUAAGCCUCUGUGUAUGAAACACUCUGGAACCCACCGGCCUAGGUGUUAGAACAGCACCGAAGUUGCCAGGGCCAGGGGUCCAGCCAUCCUGACCUCUGCUAGCCACCCUGCAAGGGCCGAUGUUCCCACGCAGGAGGCCCCAGGGAGGUGGUACUGAGCAACCGGCCACACCCAAGGAAACAGCUCAGAGCUCAACUUCCUCCUGAAUUAGGCCACACCCGAGGCCUCCCGGGUCUCAUCCACGCCUCUGGGUCCAUCACUAAACAGAAGGCACAAUCCCACUAACUCUUACUCCAUCGCUGCUCAUGAAACUCCUGCCAGUAAGGACUGGGUCAAGCACCUGAAAACCAGAGCUCGUCCGUGGCUUCACUUGUUUUGGACUAAGGAGCUGAGGAGCGUGCAAGACUGUACUUGGAGAAUCUGUUUCUUGCUGCCAUUUCGUCACUGAACACUAUUUUUUUUCUCCUUCUUUUUUUGUAAGAAAAGGAGAACACAUAAAACCCCACCAGAACAAACUCCACUCGGCCCUGAAAGUAUUUACAAUCACGGCCCUGAAAGUACUGAAAGUAUUUACAAUCACGUUACAGUUCAUUCACUGCUGCAGAACCUCUCUCCAGCGAUCAAGGUCGAAGGGAGCCGACGUCGCCCUCUAUCGGCUCCCUGCUGCACUAGAAGGUUCUCCUGUCCCAGCCCCUGGGCUUGCCAGUGAUGCCCAGAGGAUGAUGUGCCUGGUGGCUGAGCUCUUCCAGAACUAAAGACGUGCGGAUCCCUGAGUAUCCAUAACCAUCAAAGCAUGAAGUAAUGCCUUGUAAGUGGUGUCACCACACCUCCCAGAAGAAGGAUGGAUUCCUACCAGAAGCAGUCAAACAUAGUGCCGGAUCAUCUAAGUGAAACGGAUCCCCAUGGGUGCUGCUAUUGGGAUACCAAAGGUCUGAAGUUCAUCCAAUGCAAUAGCAGAAAUAAUUACAUCUGUGAGCAUGUGAGAAGAACCCUGAGUUAGUCCCAAGUGCAAAUCACCAUCUCCAACCAAUUCCUCCACCAAUUGAUGGAUGUUGGGGAGUGGGGUACAGCAACCCCUCCAAGUCCUUCCUCCCUCUAUAUAGCCCAGGAGACUCCCCUCCCACCAGCCUGGCCCCCAGAGUGCUGACUGGCAACAAUAUUCCAAGUUAAAAUAGUUUGCUAAAUAGUUAUACAAUUAGUUUACAAUUCAAAUAUAUCAGAGGAAAAGACAGGGAAAAAAAUUCUAAGAUACAUGAAUCCCAGACCAUUGCUCUCCAAAUAUUUUCAAGUGAUUCAUCUCCUUUAUUUAAAAAAUGAAUUAACCACCAGAUGGGACACUCAUACAUUCCUGAUGGUUGUAGGAAUCAGUAGACCCUGUAUGGAAAGCAAUAGGAUAAUAUUUCAUAGGAUCAAAUUAAAAUGUUCACAGCAUUGGUUCCAGGAAAUUGGCUUCUGGAGAAUUUAUACUCCAGAAACAAUUCAACAAAAGAACACAGCUCUGUGCAUGCAGAUGCUCAUUAGCCCAUCACCUAGAGUAAGGGAAAGUGGAGAUCCCAAUGAACAACAAUGAGAUGGGUUAGCGAACUGUGACCUAUCAGCCCAAUGGACAUUUAAGCAAUCACUGAAAAGUAGAAACAUGAAGAUAUUACACAACAUGGAAACUGUUUAUGGAGUAUAUUUAGGUAAAAAGGAAAAAAAGGCAGAACUGUAUAUCUGUGGUUGGAUAUACUUUUUUUUUUUUAAUAUUAAGCACCAACCAAAAGAAGAAAGGAGGAUAGAAAAAAUAAAAUGGAAGAUGUAGGGUGGGCAGAUUAGGGCUGCGUUUGUUGCUUGCUUUCAUGUUACCAUCAUAGCGUUUUUGCCACUUACAAAGGAGGAAAAAAAUCAAUUCUGUGCCAACCCAGACAACAGAGACCUGAGUGGGGGUUGGGAAGAGAGAUUUUUCAGCACAGAAUCAGACUCCUUCUCCAAAGAGCUGUGUGGCCUUCACCUGCAAGGCGACCUCUUCCACAAGCAGAGGCCAGGACAAAAAGAGGCACCUGUGAGCGACAAAGACGGUUUCCUUGGUUUCCCUCACGGCGCCAAGCGGAGUGGCCGCCUCCCACCACAGGGCCCCCUAAUGGGCGCUUUUGUCCUGCGGGGCAGAGGGACCUCAUUAGAAGGCGCUGGUGCUAAAGGGAAAUGCAUUUCCAGAACAGGAGGUUUCAUCAUUCCUAGCGUUAGCGACAGAAUGGUGACAGAAGCUCUGUGGACGUAUUUUCCAGCGUUCAGUUCACAUCAAGGAUGGGUAUGCACUGGCGGAAAAGGUCAGCUCGCAGAAUGAUCGCCCAUCCACACAGCGUUUGGAGGUCAGACGUUCCUGAUGACUGUGAAAAUGGGGAGGUGAGAAGAGGUCGUCAAAGGGAGCAGCCUUUUAAAGCCAGGUACAGGUUAAAGCCCUGAGGCCAGAGCCUUGCCCAGGCUCCUCUAGCGUGGAGAGCUCCCGCCUUACGGUACAGCUGGCACCUGCUGGUCCCCAGGGCCCUUCGCUGCGACUGCGGCAGACAACCUUGGCAAAGAUGCUGGGGACCGCCCGGGCUGGAAAACGUCGGCCUCUGGCGCUUGAGAAAGGCCAGGCGGACUCCUGCAAUACCCUCGGUAAACUGUCACCUGUCAAUCACUUGACCUAAAUACACCAGCCACUGGAGGAAGGGGAGGAGGGGGUUAGUCGGAGCAUGCUCAGUGAUCAGGAUGACAUCACUUAAUCAAUGCUGGGGACGGGAAGGCUGCAUCAGCAGCCUGGAGCAGGCUGCCAGGAACGUGUCAGCGGGGACCGGGAGGCUCCCAUUAACUCGGUCCCUCCCCACGCGGCUCGCAUACAAAGGGGGCACCAUCAGCCACACACGCUACGGACAGCGGGCGGGGAAGGGGCGGGGGACCGAGCUGGUUUGUUUCAUCUGACAGAUUCCUUUAAGAACUACAAUCC